rnacentral:rRNA from 1 species
GACAGAGGUCCCGAGCGUUAGGCGGAAUCACUGGGCUUAAAGCGUGUGUAGGCGGCGGCCUAAGUACCUUGUGAAAUCCCACGGCUCACCCGUGGAACUGCUCGGUAUACUGGGUCGCUUGAGCCACUUAGGGGCUACCGGAACAAAUGGUGGAGCGGUGAAAUGCGUAGAUAUCGGGAGGAACACCAAUGGCGAAGGCAUCUCGCUGGGACGGUACUGACGCUGAGACGCGAAAGCGUGGGGAGCAAACAGG